rnacentral:rRNA from 1 species
UUGGGUUGUAAACCCCUUUUCUCAGGGAAGAAGCAAGUGACGGUACCUGAGGAAUCAGCCUCGGCUAACUCCGUGCCAGCAGCCGCGGUAAUACGGAGGAGGCAAGCGUUAUCCGGAAUGAUUGGGCGUAAAGCGUUCGUAGGUGGCAACUCAAGUCUGCUGUCAAAGACCGGAGCUCAACUCCGGAAAGGCAGUGGAAACUGAGUAGCUGGAGUGCGGUAGGGGCAGAGGGAAUUCCCGGUGUAGCGGUGAAAUGCGUAGAGAUCGGGAAGAACACCGGUGGCGAAAGCGCUCUGCUGGGCCGCAACUGACACUGAGGGACGAAAGCUAGGGGAGCGAAUGGGAUUAGAUACCCCAGUAGUCCUAGCUGUAAACGAUGGAAACUAGGUGUUGCCUGUAUCGACCCAGGCAGUGCCGUAGCUAACGCGUUAAGUUUCCCGCCUGGGGAGUACGCACGCAAGUGUGAAACUCAAAGGAAUUGACGGGGGCCCGCACAAGCGGUGGAGUAUGUGGUUUAAUUCGAUGCAACGCGAAGAACCUUACCAGGGCUUGACAUGUCCGGAACUCUGGGGAAACUUAGAGGUGCCUUCGGGAGCCGGAACACAGGUGGUGCAUGGCUGUCGUCAGCUCGUGUCGUGAGAUGUUGGGUUAAGUCCCGCAACGAGCGCAACCCUCGUUCUUAGUUGCCAGCAUUAAGUUGGGCACUUUAGGAAGACUGCCGGUGACAAACCGGAGGAAGGUGGGGAUGACGUCAAGUCAUCAUGCCCCAUACGUCCUGGGCUACACACGUACUACAAUGGGAAGGACAAAGGGCAGCCACUUCGCGAGGAGGAGCUAAUCCCAGAAACCUUGCCUCAGUUCAGAUUGCAGGCUGCAACUCGCCUGCAUGAAGGAGGAAUCGCUAGUAAUCGCAGGUCAGCAUACUGCGGUGAAUCCGUUCCCGGGCCUUGUACACACCGCCCGUCACACCAUGGAAGUUAACCAUGCCCGAAGUCAUUACUC